UCAUUAAUUAGUUCUAAACUUUUUUUUUAGAACUCUAUUGGGAGAAGUAAUGAAGCUCCCAGAGGAGAAAUAAUGAAAUAUUCUUCCCGCAUGGCAAGAGGAUAGGGGACUACAAGGAUAGAAUAUUGUAUGCCUAGUCAGACUUGGUUUCUGUAUCUGAGGGGUAAGGGAUAUUAUCCCCAGUUCUGUUUUAUGGAGACGACCCACAACUACCCAACUGUUUUUGCUGAAUUGUUCAGAUUCCCUGCAAACAGUCCUGGAUAACCUGGUUUCAUGACAUCAAUGGCUGGUUGAUAUGGGGAAACUAUUUCCAUGAUGAAGAGCAUCUGGAAGUCGAGGCAGGACUGGGACCAUCCCCAGAGGAGUGUGGAGCCUGGGAAACCAACCCUGCCACCAGCCUUUUCUCUCUCUUCUUUCCCUUUCCACCCAUUUUUAUUCGGGUAAAAACUGGUUCAAAAGAAAAAAGAGACUGUCUUAGAGGCCUUUUUUUUUUUUUGUAUGUAGCCAGAGGGAUGUGGAAGUGCCUGUGUGUGCUAGGAUUGCAUGUCUGUAAGUUCCUUUGCUGUCUAAGACCAUCUGUCUUCUCUUUGACCCCCUGUUUUCCCCACUCCAGCUCUGCACCUUACCCCAUGGUUGAUCCAACCCCAAGGUUCACCUCUUCUGGGGCAGCAGCUCUUUUUUCUUACGUUACUGGUUACUUCACCAGGAAGGGGUGAAGGGGAAAGUUAAAUGAGGUUUCUAGUCUAGAUGAUCCAGUUAUCACAUUGUGAGUAUGUGAUUGAGUAGGAUUAUUAGAGUAUAAAAUCAAAGUAAAUUCCAAGCCAGUUUUCUAAUAGGUUUUGACAUAGGAAUGGCUCUUUCAAGAACUUUGGCAAUUCUAUAGCAAUGUGAUGAGUACAAUCUGGCCCACUGUCCCUUAACCUGGCUGGUUCCAGCUGCCCCUCAGGGCAGUCAUCAGGGAUGACUUUUUCUCUCUUUGCCCUCUGAUUUGUGUUCCUUCUGGUUGUGUUUCCUCCAUUUAUUAGGGGAUCAGUGAUUAGCACCGCAAAAUUAUUUAUCCCUGCAACAUCAAUUGACUUUUAUAAAGAGUAUUUACUUCAAAGAGAUAGUAAGAACAAAUGUGUAAGCUUUCCCCCCAAUACUUCCAAUGCUUAUUCUCGCCUAUACCACCUCAGUGUUUGGGGGAGUAGGCUCAAAAUUUUGCUCAGUUCCUACAUAGUAUAGGCCCCACCAAAUUCAAGUUCACUGCAGGUUAAGUUCUUCCAACAGGCUGAGACCCUAAAGGUUACUCGCAAAGGUCACUCCUUGCUCCUCAGGGCACUGCUACUAUGCUGGCUAUAAAACACAGGUUGGAUUCUGAUGCUUAGAUUGCUAUGGCUCUCUCUUCUGACCAAAAAUUGCAAUGAAUGAAAACACCAAGGACCG
rnacentral:lncRNA from 1 species